ACAAACAAAGCCCUGUUUAGGAGGUUCCUUCUGUAGUGGCCAGAUCAUCUUGAGGCAGCAGCGCUGGCUGGACCUGGGAUGCUGUUUGCUUGGGUAAGGAUGCCUUUGCUGUGCUGCAGCGCUUUGCUGACAGCAGGACAUGCACUGCCCUGGGACACCCCAGGCCCAUCCCAGGAGGCCUGGAGUGAUGCAGGGCUCACUGACUUCUGCUGCUCAGGAAAUACCCCCAAACCCACCUGUGGACGCUCACCCCAACCCUCACCCUCCCACCCCAAGGCUCUGGGUUGAUGCUUGCACAUUCCUGCAUGAGGACCACCAGCAGGAGAGGGAUUUGCUGCAGGCUGUGGCAGGUUCUUAAUAUCUCCCUUCCCUCCUUUGCUGCACAGCACAGAUCCCCCUUCCAACACAUGCACGAGAGCAGAGCCGAACCGUUCGCACAGAAAACAGAAACUGAAGCUUGGAAAGAAGCAGAGGAGCAGACGAAGGACUGAAUCCUGAGGAUGCGAAGUGCUUUGCAUAUCCCCUGCAGCCAGCCAGCCUCUGGUCCAGCAAAGCAAUGGAAUUUCUUGCAAACAUGCAUUUUUCAGAUCUA
rnacentral:lncRNA from 1 species